GGCACAGUGGCGGAAAGCUGGGCACUUUGCCUCGGUUCCAGUUUAUCAAUUUUUUGAAGUGCCCGGCUGAUAUUUAAGUGAUAUUAGGUCAUAUGAAUAAAACCGAGUACUUGCUCAUGCUCAACCCGAUUUGGGCAAAGUAAAGUCUCUGAGCAUUUACUCAAAACCGUAUGAAUAAAACGAUACUUUGCUCAGAGUAAGUUCGAAUUUCGAACUUAGCUUUUACUCUGUCAAAAAUGUUGUUUUGUUUUGGCCCGCGAGGAAGAAGAAUCCCAGCGGUGCAAAAAUAGUAUCUUUGAGGAUCUUUAUGUUGUUGCCGGUUGCUGGGGCCAUACAACAACCCGGCGAGACGCAACCGGGGAAAAUUUCAAGUUAUCCUGUAACACCUGCAAGGGCUACAAACGGUAUCCCAACUGCUGUAGUGUGACGGUAACUGUUCCGUCCGCGAAUAGAUUCUACCUUGCGCCGCAUAAGCCACCGAUGGAUGCAACAGAUCCGUACGCAAAGUGCAUGAAAUCAAGCGAUACGAGUCCCUAUGGCGCAGCACCAUUAAUAAGUGCACGGAAACCUAGUGUGUGAAGGAGUUUCCACGCUAGUGAAGGAGUUUCCACGAGUCAAAGCAAUGGGCCCGUAUCAAAUGUUACAAAUAUCGUGGAGCCCUGACUGAAACAAUAAAUAGAAUAUGCUGCAGAACUCAAUAGGGGUUUUGAAU